CACUUCGGUCCGGAGUCAGUGGGUUAUCGAUUCAUAAAUAUGAUCCCUACGGGGAAUUUCCCAUCGGCACACCCUUGACCGUUGU
rnacentral:sRNA from 1 species